rnacentral:rRNA from 1 species
AUGGCAUCCCUAGCAGCCGCUUCCCGUGUCGUGCUGCACAUCCUCCCUCUUUUUCUCCUCGCUGCCGGCACCCACGCCGCCACGUUCACCAUCACCAACAAGUGCCAGUUCACCGUGUGGGCGGCGGCCGUGCCGUCCGGCGGUGGCAAGCAGCUGGACCCGGGGGCGCAGCCAUGGAGCAUCGAGGUGCCGGCGGGCACGACGGGCGGGCGCGUGUGGGCGCGCACGGGGUGCAACUUCGACGGGAGCGGCAACGGGCAGUGCCAGACGGGGGACUGCGGCGGCGUGCUGCAGUGCACGGGGUACGGGCAGGCGCCCAACACGCUGGCCGAGUUCGGGCUGAAUAAGUACAUGGGCCAAGACUUCAUCGACAUCUCUGUCAUCGACGGCUUUAACGUGCCCAUGGACUUUCUGCCGGCCGACGGCACAGCCGGGUGCGCCAAGGGCGGGCCGCGGUGCGACGCGGACAUCACGUCACAGUGCCCGUCCGAGCUCCGGGCACCCGGCGGGUGCAACAACGCGUGCACGGUGUUCAAGAAGGACGAGUACUGCUGCACCGGCACGGCGGCGGACAACUGCGGGCCGACCGACUACUCGAGGUUCUUCAAGGGCCAGUGCCCGGACGCCUACAGCUACCCCAAGGAUGAUGCCACCAGCAUCUUCACUUGCCCCGGCGGCACCAACUACCAGGUCGUCUUCUGCCCAUGA